CGCUGGCGGCGUGCCUAACACAUGCAAGUCAACUUGACUGAAGGAGCAAUCUGACAGUAGAGUGGCGCAAGGGUGCGUAACGCGUAAGUAACUUGCCCCAAGGUAAGGAAUAACGUCGAGAAAUCGGCGCUAAUACCUCAUAAUGCAGCGGAUCCGCAUGGAUAUGUUGUUAAAGGUUUACCGCCUUGGGAUAGGCUUGCGUCUGAUUAGCUAGUUGGUGUGGUAACGGCACACCAAGGCUACGAUCAGUAACUGGUCUGAGAGGAUGAUCAGUCACACUGGAACUGAGACACGGUCCAGACUCCUACGGGAGGCAGCAGUGAGGAAUAUUGGGCAAUGCUCGAAAGAGUGACCCAGCAACGCCGCGUGGAGGAUGAAGGUACUCUAUAUCGUAAACUCCUGUGAGAGCAGACGAAAGACAGAUUAUUAAUCUGGAUGACUGUAUGCUCAGAGGAAGCCCCGGCUAACUACGUG
rnacentral:rRNA from 1 species